rnacentral:rRNA from 1 species
UACGAAGGGGGGCUAGCGUUGCUCGGAAUCACUGGGCGUAAAGCGCACGUAGGCGGAUCUUUAAGUCAGGGGUGAAAUCCUGGAGCUCAACUCCAGAACUGCCUUUGAUACUGGGGAUCUCGAGUCCGGGAGAGGUGAGUGGAACUCCGAGUGUAGAGGUGAAAUUCGUAGAUAUUCGGAAGAACACCAGUGGCGAAGGCGGCUCACUGGCCCGAUACUGACGCUGAGGCACGAAAGCGUGGGGAGCAAACAGGG